rnacentral:rRNA from 1 species
GUUGUAAGGUUAAGAAAUUAAGCGUACACGGUGGAUGCCUAGGCAAUCAGAGGCGAUGAAGGACGUGUUAAUCUGCGAAAAGCGACGGUAAGCCGAUAAAAGGCGCUAUAACCGUUGAUGUCCGAAUGGGGAAACCCAGUGUAGGUGACUACACUAUCAUCUGAUGAAUCCAUAGUCAGAUGAGGCGAACCGGGAGAACUGAAACAUCUAAGUACCCCGAGGAAAAGAAAUCAACCGAGAUUCCCUAAGUAGCGGCGAGCGAAAGGGGAGGAGCCCAAGCGGGUAGCAUAAUGUAUUAGUGGAAGCGUCUGGAAAGUCGCACGAUAGAGGGUGAAAGUCCCGUACACGAAGAUGCAUUAUGUGGAAGCUUAUAGAGUAGGGCGGGACACGUGAUAUCCUGUCUGAAGAUGGGGGGACCAUCCUCCAAGGCUAAAUACUCCUGAUUGACCGAUAGUGAACCAGUACCGUGAGGGAAAGGCGAAAAGAACCCCGGGAGGGGAGUGAAAUAGACCCUGAAACCGUGUACGUACAAUCAGUGGGAGCUGUUACCGUUGGGUAAUAGUGACUGCGUACCUUUUGUAUAAUGGGUCAGCGACUUAUAUUCUGUAGCAAGGUUAACCGAAUAGGGGAGCCGAAGGGAAACCGAGUAUUAACUGUGCGUUAAGUUGCAGGGUAUAGACCCGAAACCCGGUGAUCUAGCCAUGGGCAGGUUGAAGGUUGGUUAACACUAACUGGAGGACCGAACCGACUAAUGUUGAAAAAUUAGCGGAUGACCUGUGGCUGGGGGUGAAAGGCCAAUCAAACCGGGAGAUAGCUGGUUCUCCCCGAAAGCUAUUUAGGUAGCGCCUCAUGAGUAACUGUUGGGGGUAGAGCACUGUUUCGGCUAGGGGGCCAUCCCGGCUUACCAACCCGAUGCAAACUCCGAAUACUGACAAGUUUAAUCAUGGGAGACACACGGCGGGUGCUAACGUUCGUCGUGAAGAGGGAAACAACCCAGACCGCCAGCUAAGGUCCCAAAGUCAUAGUUAAGUGGGAAACGAAGUGGGAAGGCUUAGACAGCUAGGAUGUUGGCUUAGAAGCAGCCAUCAUUUAAAGAAAGCGUAAUAGCUCACUAGUCGAGUCGGCCUGCGCGGAAGAUGUAACGGGGCUAAAACUAUGCACCGAAGCUGCGGCAGC